GUGGGGAAUCUUCCACAAUGGACGAAAGUCUGAUGGAGCAACGCCGCGUGAGUGAAGAAGGGUUUCGGCUCGUAAAGCUCUGUUGUCGGGGACGAAUGUGCAGUAUUUGAAUAAAGUACUGCAAUGACGGUACCUGACGAGGAAGCCACGGCUAACUACGUGCCAGCAGCCGCGGUAAUACGUAGGUGGCAAGCGUUGUCCGGAAUUAUUGGGCGUAAAGGGAGCGCAGGCGGGAAGGUAAGUCGGUCUUAAAAGUGCGGGGCUCAACCCCGUGAUGGGAUCGAAACUAUCUUUCUUGAGUGUAGGAGAGGAAAGUGGAAUUCCUAGUGUAGCGGUGAAAUGCGUAGAUAUUAGGAGGAACACCAGUGGCGAAGGCGACUUUCUGGACUGUAACUGACGCUGAGGCUCGAAAGCCAGGGGAGCGAACGGGAUUAGAAACCCUGGUAGUCC
rnacentral:rRNA from 1 species